rnacentral:rRNA from 1 species
GGUUAAGCGACUAAGCGUACACGGUGGAUGCCCUGGCAGUCAGAGGCGAUGAAGGGCGUGCUAAUCUGCGAUAAGCGCCGGUAAGGUGAUAUGAACCGUUAUAACCGGCGAUACCCGAAUGGGGAAACCCAGUGUGACUCGUCACACUAUCAUUAACUGAAUCCAUAGGUUAAUGAGGCGAACCGGGGGAACUGAAACAUCUAAGUACCCCGAGGAAAAGAAAUCAACCGAGAUUCCCCCAGUAGCGGCGAGCGAACGGGGAGGAGCCCAGAGCCUGAAUCAGCAUGUGUGUUAGUGGAAGCGUCUGGAAAGGCGCGCGAUACAGGGUGACAGCCCCGUACACAAAAGCGCAUGUGCUGUGAGCUCGAUGAGUAGGGCGGGACACGUGGUAUCCUGUCUGAAUAUGGGGGGACCAUCCUCCAAGGCUAAAUACUCCUGACUGACCGAUAGUGAACCAGUACCGUGAGGGAAAGGCGAAAAGAACCCCGGCGAGGGGAGUGAAAAAGAACCUGAAACCGUGUACGUACAAGCAGUGGGAGCACAGGUUUACCUGUGUGACUGCGUACCUUUUGUAUAAUGGGUCAGCGACUUAUAUUCUGUAGCAAGGUUAACCGAAUAGGGGAGCCGGAGGGAAACCGAGUCUUAAUUGGGCGUUAAGUUGCAGGGUAUAGACCCGAAACCCGGUGAUCUAGCCAUGGGCAGGUUGAAGGUUGGGUAACACUAACUGGAGGACCGAACCGACUAAUGUUGAAAAAUUAGCGGAUGACCUGUGGCUGGGGGUGAAAGGCCAAUCAAACCGGGAGAUAGCUGGUUCUCCCCGAAAGCUAUUUAGGUAGCGCCUCGUGAAUUCAUCUCCGGGGGUAGAGCACUGUUUCGGCUAGGGGGCCAUCCCGGCUUACCAACCCGAUGCAAACUGCGAAUACCGGAGAAUGUUAUCACGGGAGACACACGGCGGGUGCUAACGUCCGUCGUGAAGAGGGAAACAACCCAGACCGCCAGCUAAGGUCCCAAAGUCAUGGUUAAGUGGGAAACGAUGUGGGAAGGCCCAGACAGCCAGGAUGUUGGCUUAGAAGCAGCCAUCAUUUAAAGAAAGCGUAAUAGCUCACUGGUCGAGUCGGCCUGCGCGGAAGAUGUAACGGGGCUAAACCAUGCACCGAAGCUGCGGCAGCGACACUGUGUGUUGUUGGGUAGGGGAGCGUUCUGUAAGCCUGCGAAGGUGGCCUGUGAGGGUUGCUGGAGGUAUCAGAAGUGCGAAUGCUGACAUAAGUAACGAUAAAGCGGGUGAAAAGCCCGCUCGCCGGAAGACCAAGGGUUCCUGUCCAACGUUAAUCGGGGCAGGGUGAGUCGACCCCUAAGGCGAGGCCGAAAGGCGUAGUCGAUGGGAAACGGGUUAAUAUUCCCGUACUUGGUGUUACUGCGAAGGGGGGACGGAGAAGGCUAUGUUGGCCGGGCGACGGUUGUCCCGGUUUAAGCGUGUAGGCUGGUUUUCCAGGCAAAUCCGGAAAAUCAAGGCUGAGGCGUGAUGACGAGGCACUACGGUGCUGAAGCAACAAAUGCCCUGCUUCCAGGAAAAGCCUCUAAGCAUCAGGUAACAUCAAAUCGUACCCCAAACCGACACAGGUGGUCAGGUAGAGAAUACCAAGGCGCUUGAGAGAACUCGGGUGAAGGAACUAGGCAAAAUGGUGCCGUAACUUCGGGAGAAGGCACGCUGACACGUAGGUGAAGUGAUUUACUCAUGGAGCUGAAGUCAGUCGAAGAUACCAGCUGGCUGCAACUGUUUAUUAAAAACACAGCACUGUGCAAACACGAAAGUGGACGUAUACGGUGUGACGCCUGCCCGGUGCCGGAAGGUUAAUUGAUGGGGUCAGCGCAAGCGAAGCUCCUGAUCGAAGCCCCGGUAAACGGCGGCCGUAACUAUAACGGUCCUAAGGUAGCGAAAUUCCUUGUCGGGUAAGUUCCGACCUGCACGAAUGGCGUAAUGAUGGCCAGGCUGUCUCCACCCGAGACUCAGUGAAAUUGAACUCGCUGUGAAGAUGCAGUGUACCCGCGGCAAGACGGAAAGACCCCGUGAACCUUUACUAUAGCUUGACACUGAACAUUGAGCCUUGAUGUGUAGGAUAGGUGGGAGGCUUUGAAGUGUGGACGCCAGUCUGCAUGGAGCCGACCUUGAAAUACCACCCUUUAAUGUUUGAUGUUCUAACGUGGACCCGUUACCCGGGUUGCGGACAGUGUCUGGUGGGUAGUUUGACUGGGGCGGUCUCCUCCUAAAGAGUAACGGAGGAGCACGAAGGUUGGCUAAUCCUGGUCGGACAUCAGGAGGUUAGUGCAAUGGCAUAAGCCAGCUUGACUGCGAGCGUGACGGCGCGAGCAGGUGCGAAAGCAGGUCAUAGUGAUCCGGUGGUUCUGAAUGGAAGGGCCAUCGCUCAACGGAUAAAAGGUACUCCGGGGAUAACAGGCUGAUACCGCCCAAGAGUUCAUAUCGACGGCGGUGUUUGGCACCUCGAUGUCGGCUCAUCACAUCCUGGGGCUGAAGUAGGUCCCAAGGGUAUGGCUGUUCGCCAUUUAAAGUGGUACGCGAGCUGGGUUUAGAACGUCGUGAGACAGUUCGGUCCCUAUCUGCCGUGGGCGCUGGAGAACUGAGGGGGGCUGCUCCUAGUACGAGAGGACCGGAGUGGACGCAUCACUGGUGUUCGGGUUGUCAUGCCAAUGGCACUGCCCGGUAGCUAAAUGCGGAAGAGAUAAGUGCUGAAAGCAUCUAAGCACGAAACUUGCCCCGAGAUGAGUUCUCCCUGAGACUUAAAGUCUCCUGAAGGAACGUUGAAGACGACGACGUUGAUAGGCCGGGUGUGUAAGCGCAGCGAUGCGUUGAGCUAACCGGUACUAAUGAACCGUGAGGCUUAACCUU